UCUCACUCUUCCAUUUCGAAACCCUCCCCUAAUCUUCUCUUCUUACCUUUCUCCUCUGAUUUAAGGAAACAAAAACCAUUUUCCUUCGACACCCACUAAUAAUUUCCUCAUAUGUUACAUGCAGCAACAUCCCUACAUAAACCCUAGACGAGGUCAUCAUCUCACCAUGUUUCAGUCGCAUCGAUUUGGUAGAUCAUCAGAGGAAUUACACGGUUUCGAUUUUUCAAUUCAAGUUCCUAAACAUCUUAGGUUGUAAAGGAUAUAGUACCAAUGCCUGCAAGUUUCAAUCAAGAUGGGUGUUUUAUUGCAGUAUAAGUUGCAACACAUGCCUUCAUAUACAGAUGAGUUGAAUAUUACUGGAUUCAGGAUCCAUAACAGACAAAGAGAGUUCAUCUGUGCAGAUCCAAGAUGCAGCCAUCAUGCAGGUAGAGAAGGAAUAACAACAGUGUUGAUAAACCAAGAGACAAUGGGAUAGUUAUUCAUACCUUGCAUCUCAGUUAUCAACAGGUUCCAGACUAAAACAUGAGCACUUUGUCGAGUUGCGGGGGUACUGUUUGGAUGCCAAUAAUCGUAUUCUUGCUUAUCAGUAUGUAACGAUGGGUACAGUACAUGACAGGAUAAUCAACUCGGAUUUUGUACGCUAAAGUCUUUCCAAUAUAUCGUCGUUGGCGAACUGUGCUUAGCAUUUUCCUUGCAGUUACUAAGAUGCAUGGAAAUUGAGCCUCAUUAUACUCGCUUUGUGCCACAAAUUUGUCCAAAGGACCACCGCAAAUUGUAGGUUGUUCACUUGAAAGUUUGGAAUGGGACCAUUUUGUGGUAUCUGGAGAGUGCGGUUCUCCAGCUUGAUACUGACAAUGUACCCCCUGAUUAUGGAAGCAUCAAUUAAAUGCCCAGAAUACCCUUCAAAUAUUUUGAGUUUUGCAGGCUUUUACUUGAUCCGAGUUAAGGUUAUUUUUCUUGACAGGUAGGAAAGGAGUGCAAGGGGCAGAAUCUGGUCCAGUUCUCAGUUGGCCCCAACGAGUCAAAAUUGCAUUUGGUGCUGCGAGAGGUCUUGAGUACCUCCUGAAAGUUUCCAACCUUCUAUAGUUCAUCAGGAUAGUUCUAAAUGUAAUUUCAAGCCGUUCUCAGAGGAUUGAGACUCACUUUGUAAUUCUAUGUGGACUAUGGUAAAUGAUAAUCAUCAUGAUUAAGUUGGUUAUUAGUUGAGUUAUGGGAGAUGGGUUUUUUUCAUUUGUCAGUAAGGGUCAUAUGUGGUUAGCUGGAUGGGCUCAACCAAGAGGCGUUAAAAAAAAAUUGUUUCACGACAUCAAGUUCAUUCUAGCCAUAAGUGUUGACGAGGGUAAGUACAUGCAUGAAAAAUGUUGCUAUUCUGGCUUAAGUCACAAGAUUCCAAUAUGAAGUUAGCGUAUGAGCUACGAUUUUUUUUUUAAA